rnacentral:rRNA from 1 species
GACGGAGGAUGCAAGUGUUAUCCGGAAUCACUGGGCGUAAAGCGCACGUAGGCGGCUUGGUAAGUUAGAGGUGAAAGCCCGGGGCUCAACCCCGGAACUGCCUUUGAAACUAGGUGACUAGAAUCUUGGAGAGGUCAGUGGAAUUCCGAGUGUAGAGGUGAAAUUCGUAGAUAUUCGGAAGAACACCAGUGGCGAAGGCGACUGACUGGACAAGUAUUGACGCUGAGGUGCGAAAGCGUGGGGAGCAAACAGG